AAAAUGACUCUCGGCAACGGAUAUCUCGGCUCUCGCAUCGAUGAAGAACGCAGCGAAAUGCGAUACUUGGUGUGAAUUGCAGAAUCCCGCGAACCAUCGAGUCUUUGAACGCAAGUUGCGCCCAAAGCCUUUUGGCCGAGGGCACGUCUGCCUGGGUGUCACGCAACAA
rnacentral:rRNA from 1 species